UACGUAGGGCGCAAGCGUUGUCCGGAAUUAUUGGGCGUAAAGAGCUCGUAGGCGGCUUGUCACGUCGGGUGUGAAAGCCCGGGGCUUAACCCCGGGUCUGCAUUCGAUACGGGCUGGCUAGAGGCAGGCAGGGGAGAACGGAAUUCCUGGUGUAGCGGUGAAAUGCGCAGAUAUCAGGAGGAACACCGGUGGCGAAGGCGGUUCUCUGGGCCUGUACUGACGCUGAGGAGCGAAAGCGUGGGGGGCAAACAGG
rnacentral:rRNA from 1 species